CGGUCGAUUUGAGGCACGCGGCGGACCGCGUUGCCCAAUACCAAGCGAGGCUUGAGUGGUGAAAUGACGCUCGAACAGGCAUGCCCCCCGGAAUACCAGGGGGCGCAAUGUGCGUUCAAAGAUUCGAUGAUUCACUGAAUUCUGCAAUUCACAUUACUUAUCGCAUUUCGCUGCGUUCUUCAUCGAUGCGUCGUUGAUAGG
rnacentral:misc_RNA from 1 species